AACGAACGCUGGCGGCAUGCCUAACACAUGCAAGUCGAACGAGAUCCUUCGGGGUCUAGUGGCGCACGGGUGCGUAACGCGUGGGAAUCUGCCCUUAGGUUCGGAAUAACAGUUAGAAAUGACCGCUAAUACCGGAUGAUGACGUUAAGUCCAAAGAUUUAUCGCCUGAGGAUGAGCCCGCGUAGGAUUAGCUAGUUGGUGUGGUAAAGGCGCACCAAGGCGACGAUCCAUAGCUGGUCUGAGAGGAUGAUCAGCCACACUGGGACUGAGACACGGCCCAGACUCCUACGGGAGGCAGCAGUGGGGAAUAUUGGACAAUGGGCGCAAGCCUGAUCCAGCAAUGCCGCGUGAGUGAUGAAGGCCUUAGGGUUGUAAAGCUCUUUUACCCGAGAUGAUAAUGACAGUAUCGGGAGAAUAAGCCCCGGCUAACUCCGUG
rnacentral:rRNA from 1 species